rnacentral:rRNA from 1 species
UACGACUACAUAUCAGGCAUAUCAAUAAGCGGAGGAAAAGAAACUAACAAGGAUUCCCUUAGUAACGGCGAGUGAAGCGGGUAAGAGCUCAAAUUUGAAAUCUUCAAGGUUCUACCUUGACGAAUUGUAGUUUAAAGAAGUGUUUUCUGUUAGAUGAGUAGCAAAAGUUCCUUGGAAUGGGACAUCAGUAGAGGGUGAGAAUCCCGUAUUUGGUUAUUCAUUCUAGCUUUGUGAUACACUUUCAAAGAGUCGGAUUGUUUGGGAAUGCAGUCCAAAAUGGGUGGUAAAUUUCAUCUAAAGCUAAAUAUUGGCGAGAGACCGAUAGCGAACAAGUACCGUGAGGGAAAGAUGAAAAGAACUUUGAAAAGAGAGUUAAACAGUACGUGAAAUUGUCAAAAGGGAAGCGUUUGACACCAGUGUUGUUUUUCCGAAAAUCAAUUACGAAUGGCUUGAUUUUGUGUUGUAUUGACCUUAUCAGCUUUCUUCACUUUUUUCGAGUCUUUCUUAAUGCACUUUUUGGUUAACAAGUCAACAUCAAUUUCUUUUGUUGUAAAAGAGUAUUCGGAAGGUGGCUUUCUUUUCGGAGAAAGUGUUUAUAGCCCUAUACUUCUACAAUCGGAGAGAUUGAGGUCUGCAACGUAGAUCCUUCGGGGUUAGAUACACUUGUGCUAAGUUGUAGCUUUUCAUAGACAACUUGUUGACUAUGUUUAGUCAUGCGGCUUACUCGCUUGUGCUAUUUUACCUACGCUUAGGAUGUUGAGUAGCGACAUACGCAC